UGAUUCUCUUCUGAGAAGUAUUUACGGAC
rnacentral:piRNA from 1 species